GGGGGGUGGGCACACGUGGGCAGGGAUGGGGAAGACGGCCCAGGCGGCCGCGGCGCACGCCGCGCUCUUCUGCUUCAUUCUCCUCCUCGCGCUCAGGGUCGACGGACGCACCGCAUACUCCUGGUGGGUGCAAUUGUAGAUUGAGGAUGAUGUCAGAACUCAGAAGCUUCAGCUUACAUGCUUAUUGCUAUCGGAAACUCGUCAAUGUAAAUUUCAGUGUAACUGGGCAGAUGGGUAAAUUUCAGUGUAAUACCAUGAGACUAUAGAUUACUACCUGACUCAAAGCAACUUAGGUCGGGAAUCAGGGCUCUCAAGCUUGCUGAACACGAAGGGCGAGGAGGGGUGUGCACCUUUUUACUCUCCGACAACUCUCUCUCUAAUCAUUGACAUCCUGCUUGAGCGAGGUAUGACAAUUGCAGUUCCUAAUGCUUUUAUUAAGUUUCGACAUGCCAUUGCAUUUAGACAAACAAUUAUGCAUUAAUUAGAGCUCCUUGAAAUUUAAAAUUUUGUCAAGUCAUUUCUAUUUGUUAAUGGUCAAUUUCAGAAUUUAUCCAAGCUUUUACCUCUGUUCUUAACUGUAAGUUGAUUUGGCUUGUUCAGGGAUAUAGCUUUUGCUAUGCAUCUAUAUUACACUAUCUCUAGAUACAUAGUAAACCUACGUUCAGUGCUUUAAUUUAGUUUUCAAAUUUCUUUUGCACCUUCAAUUCAUAGUGAGACAUCGAGUUAUAGUUCUAGCAAACUCUCUGUAUGACUGCACCUAAACAUUUUUAUUUGAAGGUUAUUUCAUAUUCAUUUUCAGCUUGCAGUUUAUAAAUGGUCUUUGGAUUCCCUGGUAGCCAAGGUUACUGAAGGGUAAUAGAACAUCUUGACCAACAGAUUUGUAAUAUUUACUCUGUUUGGUUAUCAAUGUUUACUUGCUAUUUAAGUUUUGUUUGAUCGUCAACUUUUUCUCAAUGUUUGAUUGUCAACUUUUUCUAUACCAGAAUCGAUGUAUAAUCGUGUGAAAUUGUAUUAAAGGAGUGCACAUGUAUCUGCUGAAGUUUUUAGAAGUUGAUAGUUUUAUAUACUUUAUUGUUAUGACAAAAUUGUUGUAUUCAUAAAGAAAUUUGUCAGUGUAUUGCUACCAAAAUCCACUAUUAAG